rnacentral:tRNA from 1 species
UCCCUGGUGGCUCAGAUGGUACAGAGUCUGCCUGCAAAGCAGAAGGCCCAGGUUCAGUCCCUGGGUUGGGAA